ACUUCAUAUAAAAUCAUGAAAUAAAUUUAGGUUUAACCAAGUUGUCUGUUGACUUCUACUGAAAGUCUCAUUCUCAGAUCAUUUUCCUCUGUGUGCUCUGCUUCAAUUCAAUUUAUACUUGUUUUUAACUUCAAAAAUCUGGGGUUUGGUUAUUCCAGUUGUUGAUUUGCUGGCAAACACCUUGACACCUUUAAAUCCUUGUUUUUACUGUGCUUUUCCCCAGUGACAUUUGGUAUAUUUGUCAUUAGUAAUAUUUAAUAUUUCUCUUUGGCCUUAGUGCUGUUGUGAUACAUAUUUUUAAAAAUCAGAGGAAUAUUUGAUUAUUUAGUCCCAUUUACAUAUAAAUACCUUAAAACCAAACUUUGUAAAAUCUCUGGAAGCUUUCUGAAAAUUCAUUCAGUCCUGGGCUAAAUUUUUAUAGAAUUUUGAGCUCUUAUUUCUGAAUAAAUAAGGUGGAUAUUUUUUAAAUUAUCAAACAGAUUGAAAUAGUAGGGCAUUUUUAUAUAAAUAUAGACUCAGGAGUGAUCCAAUGUGAAUUAUAUUAAACUCAGUGGGAAACCAUCCAUUAACCUUAGCAAGAAUAGAAUCAGAAUUCCAGAAAGUGAAUUCUGCUUUAGGAGCCCUGUGCCUGGGGAUUAUUCAAAUACCUUCCUGAUACUUUUAUCAAUGAAUUGGACAAUUAGUUGUACUAAUUAGCAGCAUCACUUUGGAAGAACUGCUUGGAGAAAGUGGAGUGACAACAACAGAGGCGGCCUAGAGCAGGCAGGGAUGGAACUGGGAUGAAAUUCCUUCUCCAUGGAAAUUAAUUUUGAAUUUUCUCAGCAUUUCCAAUUUCAGGAUAAUUUCAGUUGGAGCCUGAAUCCAGAGCAGAGUCUGCUGGAGUCUCCUCUCUGCUCCCAUGGCAGCAUCUGCCCUGCAAGAGAGUUUAAAAUAAUCAAGAUUUGCCAGUUAUGGAGGAAGAAGAGGCUUUAGAGCAACAAAACGGGCAAAAACCACAAAGACUUGAAGAAACAGCACUUCUCUAAUUCUUCCCAAAAGUUCUGAGAACCACCAAAUCCUAAAGGAUUACACCCACCAGUCUUCCUGAUUUCAGGUAGGUGAAUUCUCUCUUUGCCUCUCUUCCUGACAGCCCAGGGAAGCUGAGGAUUCUCAUUCCCUGGAAGUGUCCAAGGCCAGGUUGGACAGGGCCCAGAGCAGCCUGGGACAGUGGGAGGCAUCCCCAUGGCAGGGGAGGGAAUGGAUGGGAUUUAAGGUCCCUUCCCACCCAAACCUCUCUAGGGUUCUCUGAUUUCUCUGAAAUUAAAAAUAAUGCAAUUAAUAAAUACAAUUUUAUGUGACUUUCUCCCUUGACA
rnacentral:lncRNA from 1 species